GUAUUUGGGCCUGAAGCCGACAUCAACAGCUUCUGUAAUCAAUCGGAUUCUGUUUCCCGAAUCACCCAUUUCCCCCCUCGAAUGCCAUGGCCUUGUGCCACCGCCGUCGCUUACGAUACCCUCGAUGAGGUUGGGUCUCUGCAGCUGAGGGGUUCAGUCGAAACUCUCGGAAUCAUGUGGCACAUGCAUGUCCAGCUUCAUUUCUAGUUGAUUUCUCGAUGACCCAGUAAUACAAAGUUCUCCUCCCCGAAAAUUCUACCAAGCAUAUACAAUUCGCUGCUUACGGUCCCAGAAGUCUCAACAGCCAAGUGGUUCGGACAUCCAUGUGCGAGCUAGUUAAGGUCGUGAGGUUGUGACAGGGACAGUUAGCCUCAAGGUACGCCGAGUCGAGGUAUUUUUACUAUGUUUUGUACUUACGAGGUAUCAACGACCCCGAAAAUGCGAAUGAAACGAAUCUUUAAGGUCUGGAUUAUCAUUUAGUCAUAUGUAUUGAACUUGGUUAUAGAGUUGCAGGCACAUUUGCUUUCUAUUCUAUUAUCUAUCAACAUUGCCUUUGAAUGUUGUAAGGGAAGGAAGAUCUUGAGUAGGAGUGGAAAAUUGGGUGGCCGACCGGCUCUGAUAAAA